rnacentral:rRNA from 2 species
ACGGAAGGCAGCAGUGGGGAAUAUUGCACAAUGGGCGAAAGCCUGACGCAGCGACGCCGCGUGAGUGAAGAAGUAUCUCGGUAUGUAAAGCUCUAUCAGCAGGGAAGAAAAUGACGGUACCUGACUAAGAAGCCCCGGCUAACUACGUGCCAGCAGCCGCGGUAAUACGUAGGGGGCAAGCGUUAUCCGGAUUUACUGGGUGUAAAGGGAGCGUAGACGGUUUGGCAAGUCUGAAGUGAAAUGCGGGGGCUCAACUCCUGAACUGCUUUGGAAACUGUCGAACUAGAGUGCAGGAGAGGUAAGUGGAAUUCCUAGUGUAGCGGUGAAAUGCGUAGAUAUUAGGAGGAACACCAGUGGCGAAGGCGGCUUACUGGACUGUAACUGACGUUGAGGCUCGAAAGCGUGGGGAGCAAACAGGAUUAGAUACCCUGGUA